rnacentral:tRNA from 1 species
GGGCGAUUAGCUCAGGGGAAGAGCACCUGCCUUACAAGCAGGGGGUCGCUGGUUCAAAUCCAGCAUCGCCCACCA